rnacentral:lncRNA from 1 species
UAUGAGGGUGAACUAUAUCUCCCGAACCAUACUGGUAAGGGACUUUCCAGCCCCAUCUGACUGAGGUAACGUUCACGAUAAGAUUCUCUAUGUACCGAACCCGUCCGUCCUUUUUUCGAGUACCCAGUAAGUCUUUGACAUACAGAUUUCUAUCAGUAUAACAAUCAACAACACAAUACCAAUAUCUCAUUUUAUAUUCACAUAUCAAAAAAACGACAUUCAAGCAAGCUAUUAAACUUAUCAUAAUCAAUAACCGGAUAAUCAGAUAACCCGAUAAAUCAUGCAAGAAGGAACCAAUUAACCCAGAUAAUCGAGAAGACUAUAAAAACUAUCAAUGUAAGUAUGCACAAUAUAAUGGUAAACAAUUUAGGGCAGAACAUGAAAAUAAACUGAGAAUCAGGACAAACGUGCACUAACCAGUUUUGUCUCCACUAAUAA